rnacentral:rRNA from 1 species
AUACGUAGGGUGCGAGCGUUGUCCGGAAUUACUGGGCGUAAAGAGCUCGUAGGUGGUUUGUCGCGUCGUCUGUGAAAUUCCGGGGCUUAACUCCGGGCGUGCAGGCGAUACGGGCACAACUUGAGUACUGUAGGGGAGACUGGAAUUCCUGGUGUAGCGGUGAAAUGCGCAGAUAUCAGGAGGAACACCGGUGGCGAAGGCGGGUCUCUGGGCAGUAACUGACGCUGAGGAGCGAAAGCAUGGGUAGCGAACAGGAUUAGAUACCCUGGUAGUCCAUGCCGUAAACGGUGGGCGCUAGGUGUAGGGGUCUUCCACGACUUCUGUGCCGUAGCUAACGCAUUAAGCGCCCCGCCUGGGGAGUACGGCCGCAAGGCUAAAACUCAAAUGAAUUGACGGGG